CAAGAGCUUUUAUCCCUUUAGGGCACACAUACCAAUUAAACUAAUGCAAGACCUUUGACAGUAGUUAACGGUAGCAUCUCACAAAGUGGAAGUGGUUGGCUUACCAACGAAAGAUUUUCAAUCAUUUCUAGCAGUCCCUUUUCUAUUUGAGUAUGACCUUCCAUAUUUUCUGCUAUAUUACUUAUAGUUAAUAUCAAAUGUGCAUCUCUGCCAUCUAUGCUAAUAUCACUGCCUGACUGCUCUUGAUGUUGAGGC
rnacentral:lncRNA from 1 species